rnacentral:rRNA from 1 species
CGCCUGUUUAUUAAAAACAUAGUUUUUUAUAAAUUUAUAAAAAAUAUAACCUGCCCAUUGAUUAAAUAUUAAAAGGCCGCAGUAUUUUGACUGUGCUAAGGUAGCAUAAUCAUUAGGUUUUUAAUUGAAAUCUGGAAUGAAUGGUUGAAUGAAAUAUAAGCUUUUUUAAUUUUAAUUAAUUGAAUUUUAUUUUUUAGUUAAAAAGCUAAAAUUAAAUAAUGGGACGAGAAGACCCUAUAGAAUUUUAUAAUUAAAAUUUAAUAAAUUAUUUAUUUUUUUGUUUUUUAAAUUUUAUUUAUUUUAUUGGGGAGAUAUUUAAAUUUUUUAAACUUUAAUUAUAAAUAUCAAUAAUUUUUGUAUUUUUGAUCUUUUAUUAUAGAUUAAAAAUUUAAAUUACCUUAGGGAUAACAGCAUAAUUUUUUUAAAAAGUUCUUAUUUUUAAAAAAGUUUAUGACCUCGAUGUUGGAUUAAAAAUAAAUUUAUAUGUAGGUGUAUAAUA